rnacentral:rRNA from 1 species
AUUGAACGCUGGCGGCAGGCCUAACACAUGCAAGUCGAACGAGUGGCGGACGGGUGAGUAAUGUAUGGGAAACUGCCUGAUGGAGGGGGAUAACUACUGGAAACGGUAGCUAAUACCGCAUAACAUCAGAUGUGCCCAGAUGGGAUUAGCUUGGUGGUGGGGUAACGGAUCACCAAGUCGACGAUCCCUAGCUGGUCUGAGAGGAUGACCAGCCACACUGUAACUGUGACACGUUCCCAACUCCUACGGGAGGCAGCAGUGGGGAAUAUUGCACAAUGGGCGCAAGCCUGAUGCAGCCAUGCCGCGUGUAUGAAGAAGGCCUUCGGGUUGUAAAGUACUGUCAGCGGGGAGGCGUUACCCGCAGAAGAAGCACCGGCUAACUCCGUGCCAGCCGCCGCGGUAAUUC